ensembl:lncRNA
UGCUAAGUAAGGAAAAACAUUAGCUGUUAUUUUAAGAUGGAAUGGACAACUGAUACUGACAGAACCUCUUUUGGACUUCAGGCAUGUUGCACCUAACUGAUAGCUCAUCAGUGUUCUAUAAGGGACCUAAUACUGUGUGCUCAGCAAGGCUUGGUCAAAUAUUGGUAGCCAAGAGCCAGAUUUUCACUGAGAGAACUAAUGAACGGAUGUUUCACUGAAAGAAGUUGAAGCAGAAGUUAAACUGAGAAAGUGCUGCACGUCAAAUAUCAUCCUUUCUUGUACGAAAAAUAAUACCACUGGAUUUGACAGAAUAGCAGAUCAGAAUUUACAGCCAGGUCCCAGAAUCAAGUACAACUGCAGUGGUAAGGAUGAUUCGUGCUGCUGUGUAAUGAGAGAAAUCAUGCAUCUUUGGCUAUUCAUGGGCCUGAAAUACAGCCUCCUGCAGCUGAUAAGGUAUAAUGGCUUUCAGUGAGCUUCAGCACCUCUGAACUGAAUGCAGCGGAGACCCAACAUGACUGAAGUUUCCAAGUCCAACUGUAAGGCUCGCAGGACAGCUCCCCUUCUCCCAGACACAUUUCAUCUCAGAUACAGAUUCAAAACUGUACCCAGGAUGACAGUUGCAGACUUCACUGGUACCCCCACAGCAUCUUCAAUGCAGGUUGAUGCCAGUGGUGACAGCCCAGAGCUCGGCGCAAGCUUUUUCAGACACUUUCUUGGAUAUCCUUUUUUCUUCAAGACAAACGAAUGGAGAAAAACAGAAAACUCCAGACUGUCACUGCAUUCACCAGGCUGGACUCUCAUCCAAGAUGUCAUUUCUCUCGAGCUGCUUGUUGGUGUACGGGAACUGUUGAAUCACGGCCUGAACCUCUGAUUGAUCACCUGAGGUGAGCACCGAGUCAGUCACGGGUUUAGGAGUUUUCUUGUGAGCCUACAACACCGGUGAGCAUUUUUCCAUUUAUUUCCAAUUAUCUUUUCCAAUGUGAUAAUCUUUCUGGCUAUACGCUCUCGAAAGACCAGCCUAACUUCUCUGUAUACUUACUGGUUAUACAUCUAUAUACUCAUUCAUUAUGCAGAUGGAACAG